rnacentral:rRNA from 1 species
GAUGAACGCUGGCGGCGUGCUUAACACAUGCCAGUCGAACGCUGAAGCCCUGGCUUUUGUUGGGUUGGGUGAGUGGCGAACGGGUGAGUAACACGUGAGUAACCUGCCUUCUUCUCUGGGAUAACGCCCGGAAACAGGUGCUAAUACCGGAUAUUCUCUGAUCUCCCCAUGGUGGUUGGUGGAAGGGGUUGUUCUGGUGGGGUAUGGGCUAGGGCCCCCUUCGUUUGCUGGUUGGGGGACGGCUUACCAAGGCAAUGACGGGUAGCCGGCCGGCGUGGGUGGACGGCGACCGGGGAACUUAGAAACGGUCCAGACUCCUAAGGGAGGCAGCAGUAGGGAAUGGUGCGCAAUGGGCGAAAGCUGGACGGAGCAAGGAGGGGUGCGGGAUGAAGGUCGUCGGAUUGUAAAAUGCUGUUAUUAGGGAAGAACAGACGUGUAAGUAAUUAGGGAUGUGGUGAGGGUACUGGGUCAGAAAGCCACGGCUAACUACGUG